UUCAGGAUUCAGGAAUUUAUGUAAAUUACUCAAUAAAUAAAGAGUACCAGUACAUAAGGAAAGGGCCAGGUCCAAAAGUGACCCGGCCCAAAGAAAAUAACCAAAAUACAAUCAGACAACAACUACAUAGAUGAAAAACCAUUUUGAAAAUAUCUUUGGAAAAGCAAGAAGCUUCUUGUCCAAAAUCCUCAACUUCGGUAGAAUCUCUUCUUAACAAUCAACGUCGUCAUCAGUUAGCUCUAGAGAAUCAUCUGAAAUUUUUCUUCUAUCUUAUCAGCUAUCCGCAAUUGAAAUCUAUUCCGUUCUUCUAUCUUAACUAAUGCUUCAAAAUUUUUUUUUUAAAAAAAAACUAUUUUUUCCAUCUUCUGAAAGAUCGUUAACCUAAUUAUACUCUAGUAGAAAUUCACUAAUUUAAAUAUAUAUAUUAGUUGGCAUUUGAAAGGCUUUAAAAAUAGUGACUAUAUAUUCUGUUCGUUGUAGCAGAAUCUGAUCUUUUC
rnacentral:lncRNA from 1 species